rnacentral:rRNA from 1 species
AGUGAACGCUGGCGGUAGGCCUAACACAUGCAAGUCGAACGGCAGCACAGUAAGAGCUUGCUCUUACGGGUGGCGAGUGGCGGACGGGUGAGGAAUACAUCGGAAUCUACUUUUUCGUGGGGGAUAACGUAGGGAAACUUACGCUAAUACCGCAUACGACCUACGGGUGAAAGCAGGGGAUCUUCGGACCUUGCGCGAUUGAAUGAGCCGAUGUCGGAUUAGCUAGUUGGCGGGGUAAAGGCCCACCAAGGCGACGAUCCGUAGCUGGUCUGAGAGGAUGAUCAGCCACACUGGAACUGAGACACGGUCCAGACUCCUACGGGAGGCAGCAGUGGGGAAUAUUGGACAAUGGGCGCAAGCCUGAUCCAGCCAUCCCGCGUGGGUGAAGAAGGCCUUCGGGUUGUAAAGCCCUUUUGUUGGGAAAGAAAAGCAGCAGGUUAAUACCCCGCUGUUCUGGCGGUACCCAAAGAAUAAGCACCGGCUAACUUCGUG